rnacentral:rRNA from 1 species
AAGUCGUAACAAGGUCUCCGUAGGUGAACCUGCGGAGGGAUCAUUACCGAGAUGAGGCGCCCGCGCGCCCACCUCCCAACCCUCUGUCGACCUACCGCGUUGCCUCGGGCCGCCGCUCGCGGGCGCCCCAGAGGACACCAAUCGAAACUCUGCAUCUCAUGCGUCGGAGUCAUUAUGAAAUCAAUCAAAACUUUCAACAACGGAUCUCUUGGUUCUGGCAUCGAUGAAGAACGCAGCGAAAUGCGAUAAGUAAUGUGAAUUGCAGAAUUCAGUGAAUCAUCGAAUCUUUGAACGCACAUUGCGCCCUUUGGCAUUCCGAGGGCAUGCCGUUCGAGCGUCAUUACACCACUCGAGCCUGCUUGGUAUUGGCGCGGAGCACCCGCGCUCUAUGUUGUCGGCUGGACGGUUCGAAUCUCAGCGUUGUGGUUAAUCAGAUCGCUGCGGGACGACCGGACGCGCCGUUAAACGUCACACAGGUUGACCUCGGAUCGGGUAGGAUACCCGCUGAACUUAA